AACUCCUCACACUUGUCUUUUCUUCUCUUUCUAUUUUCUGACACCUACAGCUCUAUCUCCACUCUCUCACUUUGUUGCAGAAUCUUCUUUCUACUCACUGCCACUCUCUCACUCUCUUUUCUGUUCUCUCUUCUUCCUCUGAACAUCUAACUUCAUAAUGGGGACCAGAAUUCCUUCUCACCAGCUCAAAAAUGGCCUUCUAGUUUCAGGUCCACCCGAGCACCUCAAGGAGAAGCAACCCACAAUGGCAUCACGCGCCGUUCCCUAUACCGGCGGUGACGUCAAGAAGUCUGGCGAGCUUGGCAAAAUGUUUGACAUCCCUGUCCUCGAUCAACACUCGCCUACUGGCGCUCCUCCUAUACCCAAACAACACUCCCGCCCUUCUUCCUCUUCCCAACACAAUAGCGGAUCCGUCCGAUCGGGGCCCAACUCCGGCCCAGUCAAGAAAUCCUCCGGUCCCCUGCCCCUCCAGCCCACCGGUCUCAUUACCUCCGGACCGCUCGGCUCUGGUCCAUUGGGUUCUGGCCCACUCUCUUCGGCCCACCGGAGAUCCGGCCAACUCGACCGUGCUGGCUCCGGGGUUGGAUCCGGCUCUAGUAAAUCGCUUUACGGGUCAGCGGUCACCAGCUUGACGGAGGAUGUCAAUGUCGGUUUUAGGGUUUCGAGGCCAGUGGUGUGGGUGGUAUUAGUGGUGGUGGCGAUGGGAUUGCUUGUGGGCGCGUUUCUGAUGGUGGCAGUUAAAAAAGCGGUUAUUUUGGUGGCGGUGGGGGCGAUAUUGGUGCCCGUAAUUCUGGGGCUUGUCUGGAAUUGCGUAUGGGGAAGGAGAGGGUUGUUAGGGUUUGUUAAGAGGUACCCUGAUGCUGAGCUAAGAGGUGCUAUUGAUGGGCAAUACGUCAAGGUCACGGGGGUUGUCACUUGUGGCAGUAUACCUUUGGAAUCAUCUUACCAGAGGGUACCCAGGUGUGUAUACAUUUCCACGGAGUUGUAUGAAUAUAGGGGGUGGGGUGGAAAAUCUGCUCAUCCCAAGCACCGUUUCUUCUCAUGGGGAUCUAGAUAUUCAGAGAAAUAUGUUGCGGAUUUUUACAUAUCAGAUUUUCAGUCAGGAUUGAGAGCAUUAGUGAAGGCAGGCUAUGGGGCUAAGGUUGCUCCGUUUGUCAAACCAGUUACAGUAGUUGAUGUAAAGAAGGAGAAUAGAGAUUUCUCUCCCAGCUUUUUACGCUGGUUAGCUGAUCACAGCCUCUCCAGUGAUGACCGGAUUAUGCGCCUAAAAGAAGGGUAUAUAAAAGAAGGGAGCACUGUAAGUGUGAUGGGUGUUGUUCGACGCCAUGAUAAUGUGUUGAUGAUAGUUCCACCUCAAGAGCCUGUCUCAACAGGCUGUCAAUGGUUCCAAUGCCUCCUCCCAACCUACGUUGAAGGUCUUGUUUUGAUGUGUGAUGACAAUCAAGAUGCUGAUGUGGUUCCUGUGUAGAUAUCUGGUGUAUCACCACAGUUAGGGUUUUGUCUUGAGCUGGAUUUCACAAAGUAAAUAGUGGAAGGGUGGUGAGCAAUGGAUUCAUGAGGCAUCGCUGAACCACAUUCCCUUUUUUUCCAGGUAUUAAAAGUGCAUAUAAAGUGUCCUUGAAGUUCCAGAGCCACUAGACUGAAGAUAUGUAUAAAUGAAGCAUAUUCUAGUGAAAAAGCUUUAAAUAUGCUUUUGGAGAUUGUGACGAGUUCACUGCGAAAGAAGCUGGACAAUGUUGUAUCACAAUGGCACUAGGCACUAGGCACUUUGGCUGAUUUUUGUACAUAAGUUGGCAGAGCUGCCCAAAGGGGUUCGGAAAUGGUUGAUUACUUAAAAUGAACUUGAUGUUAGUAUGGCUAAAAUUGGAGAAAUUUGGUAUAUUUGAUCAAAGUAGCCAUUUAAAGGAGAUUAGAGUUGAAUUGCAAAAAUUUUUUAAAGUUGAGAAAAAAAUGGCCGAGAGCGACACAACCUGCAACACAACCAAUUUAGCUUAUGUCGCAGGUUGUGUCGAGCGUCAGAUAUUCAGGCAGAUUGCGACACAACCCGCGACACAACCGAUGCAGCUUAUGUCACUUUUACUGGAAAUGGCUGACGUGGCAUUUCCGUUACUCUGAUUUUUUUACCUCACUUUCUCUGGAACCUUCCCACUUUUUACCCAUUCUAGGGCAGUCCCCUCACCUAUAUAAAGUCUCAUUUAUCAUUUUCUUUCCAUAGAGAGCAAGGGAGGCAUUUUUGGCAAGAAAAGAAAGAGAGAAAGAGGGAGUACGGGUUCCAUUUUUUCCAGCAGCUGCAGAACCCGUUUUUUGCACUUUUCUGCAGCAGAUUCUGCUGCAUAUUUCUGGGUUUUUCUACUCCUUAGCUUACAUUUCCAUUAUUUCUUUAUUUAUACAUUUGGGUUUGUCUUGAAACUAUGAUUAGUGAGUAGUUAUUUGAGAUUCUAGAGAUGGGUUUGUAAAUAUUAAUUUGUAUUGUGGUUUUGAACUGAUUUAGCCAUUUAAAUGGGAUUUGUUACAUUUUGAUUUA